rnacentral:rRNA from 1 species
CCUGGUUGAUCCUGCCAGUAGUCAUAUGCUUGUCUCAAAGAUUAAGCCAUGCAUGUCUAAGUAUAAAUAUUUUACUUUGAAACUGCGAACGGCUCAUUAUAUCAGUUAUAGUUUAUUUGAUAGUCCCUUACUACUUGGAUAACCGUAGUAAUUCUAGAGCUAAUACAUGCGUCAAUACCCUUCUGGGGUAGUAUUUAUUAGAUUGAAACCAACCCCUUCGGGGUGAUGUGGUGAUUCAUAAUAAGCUUGCGGAUCGCAUGCCUCUGGCGGCGAUGGAUCAUUCAAGUUUCUGCCCUAUCAGCUUUGGAUGGUAGGGUAUUGGCCUACCAUGGCGUUAACGGGUAACGGAGAAUUAGGGUUCGAUUCCGGAGAGGGAGCCUGAGAAACGGCUACCACAUCUAAGGAAGGCAGCAGGCGCGUAAAUUACCCAAUCCUAAAGCAGGGAGGUAGUGACAAGAAAUACCGACGGGUGGCCUUGUGUCGCCCAUUGGAAUGAGGACAAUUUAAAACCCUUACCGAGUAUCAAUUGGAGGGCAAGUCUGGUGCCAGCAGCCGCGGUAAUUCCAGCUCCAAUAGCGUAUAUUAAAGUUGUUGCAGUUAAAAAGCUCGUAGUUGAAUUUCUGGGUCCACCGGUCGCCGGCUUCGGUCGAGCUUCCCGCGGAUUCAUCCUCGCCCUUCGGGGCGUCAUUUACUGUGAAAAAAUUAGAGUGUUCAAAGCAGGCAAUUGCCGUGAAUACAUUAGCAUGGAAUAAUAGAAUAGGACCUGGCUUCUAUUUUGUUGGUUUGUUAGAAACGGGUAAUGAUUAAGAGGGAUGGUUGGGGGCAUUUGUAUUCCAGCGCUAGAGGUGAAAUUCUUGGAUUGUUGGAAGACAAACUGCUGCGAAAGCGUCUGCCAAGGACAUUUUCAUUGAUCAAGAACGAAAGUAAGGGGAUCGAAGACGAUCAGAUACCGUCGUAGUCUUUACUAUAAACGAUGAGGACUGGAGAUCGGACGGGGCUGUUUUUGGCCCGUUCGGCAUCCCUCGGGAAACCAAAGUGUUUGCUUUCUGGGGGGAGUAUGGUCGCAAGGCUGAAACUUAAAGGAAUUGACGGGAGGGCAUCACCGGGUGUGGAGCCUGCGGCUUAAUUUGAC